CAGGACGAACGCUGGCGGCGUGCUUAAUACAUGCAAGUUGAGCGGAGCUAAUAGUGAGUUACUUAUUAUUAGCCGAGCAGCGGACGGGUGAGUAACGCGUGGGCAAUCUGCCCUCUAGUUUGGGAUAACAGUUCGAAAGGACUGCUAACACCGAAUAAUCUUAAAAUUUGGGCAUCUAAAUUUAAGGAAAGUUAACGCUAGAGGAUGAGCCCGCGUCCCAUUAGCUAGUUGGUGAGGUAACGGCCCACCAAGGCAACGAUGGGUAGCCGACCUGAGAGGGUGACCGGCCACACUGGGACUGAGACACCGGCCCAGACUCCUACGGGAGGCAGCAGUAGGGUAAUUUUCCGCAAUGGAAACGAAAGUCUGACGGAGCAACGCCGCGUGAGGGAUGUAAGGUUUUCGGAUCGUAAACCUCUGUCCUUGGGGAAGAUAAUGACGGUACCCAAGGAGGAAGCCACGGCUAACUACGUGCCAGCAGCCGC
rnacentral:rRNA from 1 species